CCUACGUGAGGCAGCAGUGGGGAUUAUUGCACAAUGGGGGAAACCCUGAUGCAGCGACGCCGCGUGAGUGAAGAAGUAAUUCGUUAUGUAAAGCUCUAUCAGCAGGGAAGAAAAUGACGGUACCUGAGUAAGAAGCCCCGGCUAACUACGUGCCAGCAGCCGCGGUAAUACGUAGGGGGCAAGCGUUAUCCGGAUUUACUGGGUGUAAAGGGAGCGUAGACGGCAGUGCAAGUCUGGAGUGAAAGGCGGGGGCUCAACCCCCGGACUGCACUGGAAACUGUACGGCUGGAGUGCAGGAGAGGUAAGUGGAAUUCCUAGUGUAGCGGUGAAAUGCGUAGAUAUUAGGAGGAACACCAGUGGCGAAGGCGGCUUACUGGACUGUAACUGACGUUGAGGCUCGAAAGCGUGGGGAGCAAACAGGAUUAGAUACCCCAGUAGUC
rnacentral:rRNA from 1 species